rnacentral:rRNA from 1 species
AUUGAACGCUGGCGGCAGGCCUAACACAUGCAAGUCGAGCGAGCGGCGGACGGGUAAGUAAUAUCUGGGAAACUACCAGAUGGGGGGGGAUAAAUAAUGGAAAAGGUAGUUACUCACGCAUAUAGUGAGAAGUGCCCAGAUGGGAUGAGCUGGUAGGUGGGGUAACGUCUCACCAAGGCGACGAUCCCUAGCUGGUCUGGGAGGAUGGCCGGCCACACUGGAACGUAGACACGGUCCAGACUCCUACGGGAGGCAGCAGUGGGGAAUAUUGCACAAUGGGCGCAAGCCUGAUGCAGCCAUGCCGCGUGUGUGAAGAAGGCCUUCGGGUUGUAAAGCACUUUCAGCGGGGAGGCGUUACCCGCAGAAGAAGCACCGGCUAACUCCGUGCCAGCAGCCGCGGUAAUAC